rnacentral:lncRNA from 1 species
CAUUUCUUCUUUCACAAAUUCCAAUUUCGAAGAGAUAUAUAGCGAAAUCUGUUUUCUUUUAUUGUGCCUGUGUGCAUCAUUCAAAAUUAGAGAAUGUAAUUUUGAAGUAUCAAGUCUCAAUUCAAGAUUAAAAAUGAAUAGAAUAUAGAAUUACGAGGGGAGGGAGGGGUAGGACCUUUAUCGGAACUCCAGGAUCCGGGAAUUCUAUUUCGAAUUUCGGGUAGUCGGGAUUUGAUUUUUUUUUUAAUUCGGGACCUCGCCGG